AUGGCUCAGAUUGAACGCUGGCGGCAGGCUUAACACAUGCAAGUCGAGCGGUAACAGGGGAGCUUGCUCCUGCUGA
rnacentral:rRNA from 1 species